rnacentral:lncRNA from 1 species
GCUGCUUACUGCUAGUUAGGGGUUAACGGUAAAAAAAAAAGUUAAGAAAGUUUAAAAAAUGUAAUAAGUUAAAACAAAAGUUUAAUAACGAGUUUUAAAAAGUUUCAAAAAGGGGGGCGGAGCUAACCACCGAGCUGAUCAGACGCCAUUGCUGACAGCUCCUGCUCUAAUCUUUACUAUCUCGCUUCAAUAUGGAGAAUCUCCAUAGAGCCCACCAUCCUAGACCCAUACUCCGACUUGCGACACCGAGCUGCAUCGAUCAAUGCCCUUCUUUUAAAAAAAAAAGACGACACCAAAACGGCAACGUAUGGCCGGGGCCUACUCCACGCAGCCACUGCCUGACCUGAAGGCGCUCCUCGGCGGAGUUUACCAAGGCCUGGCACCUAACUUGACUACCGAACCCCAUCCCAGUCUGGUGGACCACAUGCCUGCCAUGGGACGACGUUCCCAGAAAGCCAGCAACCAGACAGAAGGGAGAGACAUAGGGGCGGUGUUACAACAACCCGCUAAGCCCAAACCGACCCCAGAAGAAAGCCAAACAGCUACCGCACAAAGGGACCACACUGAUCAACCAGGGAGCACCGACUUCGGCACCAUACCACCAGCUCCCCCAGGGGGAUCGCCACCAGCGACCAAACAUGACCUGCAGAUGCUCCUGCAUGAUUUCCACAAAAUGCUGGCGAAGGAGCUUGCAGGACUCAGAGCUGACUUACAAAGCACAAACGACCCGGUGCUUGCCACAGAGGCUGACAUGACAGAAGUCACAACAAAUUUGACAAGCUUACAGGCCUCGGUGCAACAGCUCCAAAAGUCCCAACACAAUCUGACCCUGCACCUGAAUGCCCUAGAGAACAGCCAUAGACGCAAUAAUAUCAAAAUCUGCGGCAUUCCAAUGAGUGUCACAUCAGAAGAGCUGCCACAUUACAUAAGAAGGCUAAUAGCAAUAAUAUUACCUCCAGUGUUGGCAAGAAAACUGGUAACCGUCGGCAUAUACCGGGUAGCAGGCCCCCCAAGAGCUCCCUCACAAACAGCACGUGAUGUCAUCCUACGCUGUAUAUCCUCACUAGACAAGGGACAGAUAAUGGCGGCACUGCGGGGCAAAACCCCACUAUCGUUUGAGAACUCCAGCCUAACCUCUUAUCAAGACCUAACGAGGGCCACCCUCCAAUGGCGCCGGUCACUCCACCCAGUGACCCAACAACUGCGAGCAGCCAACAUGAGCUACAGGUGGGGGGCACCAGGAUCGCUGCUAGCCACUCACAACGGGACUACCCACACACUUACCUCUCUUGCAGAAGCCACAACCUUUCUUGAAACUCUGGGACUGAAAGCGGCGGACACACAAACCCUAGAGGGAACCUGGGACCCGGAUAACAGUGUCCCAUUCAUCCCACGCACCGCCCCAGCACACCAACAGUCCACAUGAAUGCAGCUGAAAGAAACAAUCCCAAGGACACUGCUUAGAGAUUAUGAAUAACCGGGCUCUACGGACACCACUAAUGAUAGAAUGUUUAUUUACCUGUUGAUAUGUUACUCAGCAUAGCGCAGCUCAAAUUAGGGCUCGAGGGAUAGCGACUUAUACCUAUACUUACGUUAAGAAUGUUCAAAAUAUGCCUUUUGAAUUACCCCUGGGUGUAUUCUUUAAUAAAAAGUAUGUGUUUGUGGGGAAGUUUGAAUAGCCAACCAGCUAAACUACUCCAAAAUGGAACAUGGACACAGCGUAAAACUUCAAAGUUAGAAAAAACUGAAUGGCUGUGUCUCAAAUGUGCCCCUUUAACAUUCACAUAUACCUUGCAAAGGUCCAUACGGGGGUAUUGCUGUACUCAGAUGACAUAGCUGUGCAACAUAUGAACUACUGUAUUAUACAGUCGUAGCACACAUAAGUUUUGCAAAAUAUACUGUGUAAACUCACUUUGUGUGUCAAAAAGGUAGAAUUUUUUUUUUUUAACCUUACUUAUAGCAAUGCCCAGUAGGAAGGCUGAGCUAGGUAGCCCACUUACUAUUACUUACUAUAGCCCACUAUAACAGACAGGCACACAUACAUACAGACACACACACAAGACACACAUACAUACAAACAGACAGACACACAGACAUGCACACAUACACACACAUAAGACAUACAUACAAAGACACAUAUACAUACAAAGACACACACACACACACAACAUAUUUUAGUCACCCUCCUGUUUCCUACCUUUUAGGUGCAGGAGAGUGACUUUCCCUGGGGUCCAGUGGUGGCACAGGUGGAUGGGAGUCAGAGUUCCCACUCUGACUCCCUCUGCUUCCUCCCGCGUGUUCUAUGUGUUAGCUGGGAGGAGUGACGUGUGGUUACUUCCUCCCAGCUCUGUAUGAUGUAAUCACAGGGGGCCCGGUCGUGCUGUUAAAGUGCCCAGCACUGACCGGGGCCCCCUUACAAUCCACAUCCAUCGGGUGGCCCUGACAGCAUGGUCCACCCGAUGGACGCCUUGGACGGCGGCCCUGGCGGUUUGCCGCACGGGCUGGGGCAGCAAAUGGUGAUGGCGGUACCAGGUCGCAGGGGUACCACCGGCUCGCAUCCGCCCACCUAAUCUCUGAAAUUGAGGAAAUCCAUACCGCCCACCUGGAAUCCUGAAACGCCCACUAGUAGGCGGUAUGGACCAGGUUGACGACCCAUGGUGUAGUUAGAAUAUGUAGCCUGAUCAAGUGCUCCAAAGUGGGACACGGAUGCAUCAAAACCCUCCAUGAAAAUUCACACUUAAAAACCUGAACUUGUCACGUCUCUUUUACAGCACUGUAAGUUCACAAAAUAGUGUCUAGGUCAUACAUAGGCAUAUUGUUUUACUCAGAAGAUGUAACUGAGCAUAAUUUGGGGGGUUUUAUGGCAGUGGUAAAUAUCAAGUGUAAGAAAUGCUCAGCAAAAAAUGCAACAUAUAUGUAAAAAUGCAAUUUUUGUUUCUCCCCACCACAAACAUUGACAUCAAAUGGUGACAAGUUAAGGCACAAUAUACACCAUAUAAGAUACCCUGGGGUGUCUGCUUUAUCAAAUGAAAGCACUUUGUGGGGUUAUUUGAACAGUCACACUGCUAUAAUACCCUAAAAUAAGAAAAAUCCAUCUACGAAAAUUCUAAUUAUAGAAACUGAAAUAGCAUUGUCUCUUAUAUGGCAUUGUAGCUUCACAGAAUAGAGCCAAAGGCAUGCAAUGGGGGUAUUGUUAUACUCAGCAGAUGUAGCUGAACACAAUAUGGGGUUCUGUGCAGGAAUAGCACACACCAGCUUUACAAAAUACACAUUACAAAAACCUUGUUUUAUGUGUAUAUGCCAAAAUAGAGAAAAAACACAAUUUUACUCCAAUAUUUAGCAAAGAUUGGCGAUGAAAUGGCUAUGUAAAAAGAUUCAAACUAACCUUAGGUAAAUAGCCUGUGAUGUCUACUUUAUAUAAAUAUAUACUUUUGUGUGGCAAUUUUGUUUUCUGUGAUGGCUACUAAACCUACAAGACAAACAUACCAACUUCUAAAAUUGUUUCACAUUAAAAUAUUAUUUUAGUCCUUGUAUUUUGUGACCUGUAACUUUCAAAAUAAGCUGAAAUCCUAUACAUAUUAUGUACUCUAUAAAUCAAGACACAUAAAUGAAUUUAUUUCAAAUUACUUUUUCUAAGCUGGACAUAUUAUGCACACGCUAUUAUUGCCAAAACUGUGAAUUUAUUUUGUUGUUGUUUUUUCC